AGUGAACGCUGGCGGUAGGCCUAACACAUGCAAGUCGAACGGCAGCACAGGAGAGCUUGCUCUCUGGGUGGCGAGUGGCGGACGGGUGAGGAAUACAUCGGAAUCUGCCCAGUCGUGGGGGAUAACGUAGGGAAACUUACGCUAAUACCGCAUACGACCUUCGGGUGAAAGAGGGGGAUCGCAAGACCUCUCGCGAUUGGAUGAGCCGAUGUCGGAUUAGCUAGUUGGCGGGGUAAUGGCCCACCAAGGCGACGAUCCGUAGCUGGUCUGAGAGGAUGAUCAGCCACACUGGAACUGAGACACGGUCCAGACUCCUACGAGAGGCAGCAGUGGGGAAUAUUGGACAAUGGGCGCGAGCCUGAUCCAGCCAUACCGCGUGGGUGAAGAAGGCCUUCGGGUUGUAAAGCCCUUUUGUUGGGAAAGAAAUCUUUCAGGCUAAUACCCUGGGAGGAUGACGGUACCCAAAGAAUAAGCACCGGCUAACUUCGUG
rnacentral:rRNA from 1 species